GUUGUAAGGUUAAGAAAUUAAGCGUACACGGUGGAUGCCUAGGCAAUCAGAGGCGAAGAAGGACGUGUUAAUCUGCGAAAAGCGACGGUAAGCUGAUAAAAAGCGUAAUAGCCGUCGAUGUCCGAAUGGGGAAACCCAGUGUGGGUAACUACACUAUCAUCUAAUGAAUUCAUAGUUAGAUGAGGCGAACCGGGAGAACUGAAACAUCUAAGUACCCCGAGGAAAAGAAAUCAACCGAGAUUCCCUAAGUAGCGGCGAGCGAAAGGGGAGGAGCCCAAGCGGGUAGCAUAAGG
rnacentral:rRNA from 1 species